rnacentral:misc_RNA from 1 species
UCCGGUUUGUCACCGGCAGUCAUCCUAGAGUGCCCACCCGAAGUGCUGGCAACUAAGAUCAAGGGUUGCGCUCGUUGCGGGACUUAACCCAACAUCUCACGACACGAGCUGACGACAACCAUGCACCACCUGUGUAGGGCCCCGAAGGACACCGUAUCUCUACGGCUUUUCCCUACAUGUCAAGCCCAGGUAAGGUUCUUCGCGUUGCAUCGAAUUAAGCAACAUGCUCCGCCGCUUGUGCGGGCCCCCGUCAAUUCCUUUGAGUUUUAGCCUUGCGGCCGUACUCCCCAGGCGGGGCACUUAAUGCGUUAGCUACGGCACGGAAUCCGUCGAUAGGACCCCACACCUAGUGCCCAUCGUUUACGGCGUGGACUAC